rnacentral:rRNA from 1 species
GAUGAACGCUAGCUACAGGCUUAACACAUGCAAGUCGCGGGGCAGCAUGGGGGUUGCUUGCAAUCCCCGAUGGCGACCGGCGCACGGGUGAGUAACGCGUAUCCAACCUGCCCUUCACCACGGGAUAACCCGGCGAAAGUCGGACUAAUACCGUAUGUUGUCCAUUGACGGCAUCCGAUUUGGACGAAAGGUUUGGCGGUGGAGGAUGGGGAUGCGUCCGAUUAGCUGGACGGCGGGGUGACGGCCCACCGGGGCGGCGAUCGGUAGGGGUUCUGAGAGGAAGGUCCCCCACACUGGAACUGGGACACGGUCCAGACUCCUACGGGAGGCAGCAGUGAGGAAUAUUGGUCAAUGGGCGUAAGCCUGAACCAGCCAAGUAGCGUGCAGGAUGACGGCCCUAUGGGUUGUAAACUGCUUUUAUGCGGGGAUAAAGUGGCCCACGUGUGGGUUUUUGCAGGUACCGCAUGAAUAAGGACCGGCUAAUUCCGUG